CUCCCAAUAGCUCAGUUGGAAGAGCGUUCGGCUGUAAUUGUUACCUUGAUACCGAAAGGUCACCUGUUCGAACCAGGUUUGGGAGA